GGCGAAUCCAAUGCCUGCUUUAAUUAGUAUUGUUGCCUUCCUAAAAUCUUAGCCCCUACACAACAGAUCCUCCUUCUCAGGGCCCUCUCAUUUCCUCUCACACAACACACUUACAGGAUUUCAUUGUUGUCCCUGUAAAGAUUUGCUCAAGUUUUGAGUUGGUGGCAGAAUGGAGACUCAGAAGAGUGAUACUGAUAACAAGGUAGAUGAUUAUGAAGUGUUAGAACAGUUGGGAAAAAGAACUUUUGGAACUGCAUUUCUUGUUCUCCAUCGAACUGAGAAGAAGAAAUAUGUUCUGAAGAAGAUUCCAUUAGCAAAACAAACAGAAAAGUCCAAGCGCAC
rnacentral:misc_RNA from 1 species